rnacentral:lncRNA from 1 species
AGCAGCAGCAGCAGCAACAAAGAUGCAACGUUACGGCUUCUUCUUUGGUUUACGGCAGAUAGGUCACGGCUGCUGUUCGAGGGUCCUACCGCAAUAUUUUAAGCUCUUCCCACUUGCAUGUACAUGUGUCUGUGUACAUUUCACGCACCUCGCUGCCUGACCUACCUCACCCUGCCCUGCCGUACCCUGCCGUACCCUGCCGUACCCUGCCGUACCCUGCCCUACCCUGCACAUGUGCCUCACAAAACAUACUCCAAAACCACUCCGACCAUAAAGAAUUGUACACCAAAUGUUGUCUGAAACAGUGCCUCUCUCCCUCUCCCCCUCUCCCUCCCUCCCUCUCUCCCUCUCUCUCACCAUCCAGCCCCCUGCUUGCAUACCGGCCCCCCUUUCAUCAUCCACCAAGCGAACAACCCUCAUGGAGCGCAAUCCCGGCAAGUCCUGGUACUCCAGCUAUGUGGUUCAAUCCACAUUGCCCAUUGGGGGUCCCCAUAGCCAUUCCACGGGGCCAAGAACCCCAAGAACAGCCCGAGCACGGCACUGCCAUGCAAACGGGAUUCAGGUAGGUAAGCUGCGCAACCUGCAAACCGCGGGUUUAUGACCAGUUGAGACCUGUGCAGGCCGCUGUUCCUUCCCUUCGGUCCCGCGCCGCGGUCACCUUAUCUCUGGGUGUCUCCACCUACAUGGCUUGCACCUCCUAGUGUUCGUGCGUUAGGAGCCCGCUGCUGGACACACGUCUCCAGUGACCCGCCAUGCAUGGCCACUAGGCCUCCUCGCCACCCAUGAGGUUGUCCAGCGCGUGGUUCACAUGGCGCCUGUGAGAGACACACAAACAUACAUACACAUGCCGCCGUAGGUGGGUCGGUGGGUUUAUCAGAGGGCGUCCGACUGAGGCCCAGGCCCCGACAGACAGAAGGUUACCCGCAGCCGCGUCCCGCUAUGUGGCCCUCACCUCCUGUUGUAGUAGUACAAACCCGCAGCCACCGCCACGAGCGCCAAAGUCGGCACCACGGCAGCCGCCACAAUGGGGCCGUGGGAGGUGCCACUCGACCCGCCUGCGAUGGGGAGUGUGGAGAGGGGCCCGGGCACACGAGGGCACACGAGGUUGUGAGGCACUGUCGAUUGGAGGUGCCAGGCGGGCAGCCCUGGGUUGCAGAAACAGGAGUCUUACGCGCCCUAGCUUUGCUCUGGCUUGAGCCCCCCUCCUCCGAUGGCUGCCGCUGCACAGAGCUCGUUCGCUCGCAAAGAUUGGGGUCUCCCUAGAGCCCGCAAACAGAAUGAAACACGUUGCUGAUUGCACAUAAGGCAAGCAGCAGCGGUGCAUUCCGGCGGCUCGAUUGGUCCCCGUUGCGUCCUCGUCUGAAGCCCUCCAGGGAGCGCACCUUGCAACUGGCUGUUUGGUGGGCCUAAUAGAAGGGGUGGUGGCGGGGUCGUACUCCACUAAUCCCUGCUCGUACCGCGGCAUGGGACCUAGCGGGGCUGGAGGCGGCGGGGUCCUACGUGGCGGAGGUUN